CCGCUAUGUUGAUUUUCAUCUACAAAAAUUCUACAUAUACUAAUAGCAUGUACUGAACCUCUAAAGAACCUUGCAUCGUCCAUGAAAACUACAUGAUAUACAAAGUAACAUAUUCUUAAUACAAUUUCAUCUUUAAUUAUUCGGUUUAUUCCCGUGUUUCUGAUUGUUUUAAUCGAUAUUCUAUAAAUAUUGCUCUAUUAAAGUCCGUAUUCCCUGGACCCUGGUCGAUUAUCGUUCAAGCAAUUGAAUUCACCAAACGCAACUACUUUUCAAUAUAAAAAAUAUGUAGAUUUUUACUCACCAAGAACGUUUCUGCUUGUAACAUUUGUUAAAUUCGAGGUUAAAUUUCACAUGCGGCUAAAUCGAGGAAUGCACAUUCGCCC